CCCUUAGAUGUCCUGGGCUGCACGCGUGCUACAAUGAUACGUGCAACGAGUUAAUCCUGCUCUGAAAGGAGUGGGUAAUCUUAUGAAUGCGUAUCGUGCUUGGGAUUGACCAUUGUAAUUAUUGGUCAUGAACGAGGAAUUCCUAGUAAGCACAAGUCAUCAGCUUGUGCUGAUUACGUCCCUGCCCUUUGUACACACCGCCCGUCGCUCCUACCGAUUGAGUGUUCCGGUGAAUUAUUCGGACUGCAACAGUUAUCUGUCGCGGAAAGUCUUGUGAACCUUAACACUUAGAGGAAGGAAAAGCCGUAACA
rnacentral:rRNA from 1 species